rnacentral:rRNA from 1 species
GAGAUCUUUCUCCAGGGCAGAACCCUCCUGAGGGCGAUCGGUAAGGGGGGCCAGCUGGCCGCCCUGAUCCCAAGUUCAGAGAAUGCGCAGGCUCUGCACUUUCUCCGUCAUCACCUGUCACCUACUCUAAAAGAUGAGUAUAUGGCUGAGCGCAGUGCUUCUGGCCUUUGGACCGCUCUUAAGCAGCGGUUUGAGAGGUUGAAGUACACUGUGAAGCCACGUGCAGAGGCAGAGUGGAUCCGUCUGAGCCAGAAGAUUGAGAAAACCCUAUCCACCUUCCACCCCGACGCGGUCCAGUCCUCAUGGAACUACCGCCAGGGGAACUACACGAGGUAUUCAGAGUUGAUUGACGUCCUCCAGGUAGCGGAGGCGCAGGACGAGGUUCUCAAAAAGAACUUUGUCGCGCAACCACUUGGGGAGGUGAACGCUCUCAAAGUUCGCAAGCCUCAACAGAAGAAGAGGGGCCCUAAGCAGUACAAUCCGGGCAAGGGAGGGCAGAGGCCUCAGGACUGCUUCCGUUGUGGCUCGGUGGAGCAUUUCUCCCGCCAGUGCCGCGCACCACAGGAGGUCGUUGAUGCAUAUAAGGCUCAGAGGCGCGUGAAACACACCUCGCCUUGGUUCAGGAGGGAGCACCACCGGCGCUCGUGGCGGCACUUGUGA